rnacentral:rRNA from 1 species
UGGGGAAUUUUGGACAAUGGGCGAAAGCCUGAUCCAGCAAUGCCGCGUGUGUGAAGAAGGCCUUCGGGUUGUAAAGCACUUUUGUCCGGAAAGAAAUCCUUGGCUCUAAUACAGUCGGGGGAUGACGGUACCGGAAGAAUAAGCACCGGCUAACUACGUGCCAGCAGCCGCGGUAAUACGUAGGGUGCAAGCGUUAAUCGGAAUUACUGGGACGUAAAGCGUGCGCAGGCGGCUUGCUAAGACCGAUGUGAAAUCCCCGGGCUCAACCUGGGAACUGCAUUGGUGACUGGCAGGCUAGAGUAUGGCAGAGGGGGGUAGAAUUCCACGUGUAGCAGUGAAAUGCGUAGAGAUGUGGAGGAAUACCGAUGGCGAAGGCAGCCCCCUGGGCCAAUACUGACGCUCAUGCACGAAAGCGUGGGGAGCAAACAGGAUUAGAUACCCUGGUAGUCCACGCCCUAAACGAUGUCAACUAGUUGUUGGGGAUUCAUUCCUUAGUAACGUAGCUAACGCGUGAAGUUGACCGCCUGGGGAGUACGGUCGCAAGAUU